rnacentral:lncRNA from 1 species
AUGGAAGACAGUUGUGGUCUUCUGGAUUUUGCAGUUCUCUGCUUCAUUAGGACCAGGAACUUGUCUGAGCCCAGAGAGAGCCUGAGUGGUGACGUUCAAAGGGAGAAGAUAAGCCUGGACUUCUUGGAAAGGAUGUUAGAGGAAGACAAGAAUCAUAUUGAAUUUAUGGCCCAGGCAAAUUGCAUAUGACCUCAUCUUAACUUGAUGACAUCUACAAAGACUCCAUUUCCAGCUCACGGUGAAGGAACCCUGAGAGGACAGAGCUAUGUGAUGGAAUGAGCCAGGAUCCCUGAGUCCUCACCUAGAGAAGAGAUGUGCAGAAGAGCCACUCAACAGAUGGUGGUGUGCUGAUAAACAUUUAGUGACCCAUUUGGGGUAUGGGGAAAGGCUCUAGUCAGUAACAUUUGUUCAUUUCUGUUAUGUAUACUCCCAGUAUGGCUGCGUUUAGACAACCAAGGUGAUGUCACUGAACACAGUUUGGAAUGGAUGCACAUAAUCAGUUCUUAUGAUGCUGGAUGAACCAACCCCAGCACACCACUGCCCCCAACCCACAUGUAACUGUGUCAUAAUUUUAAUUUAAAAAUAAACAUAUUUGGUUAAGCCUUUGAGAUUCAUUGGGGAUUGUUUGUUAUAGCAACUAGAUAGUGUUAACCUAGCUAAUAUAAUCCAGUACUUAGAAAAUUAUGAGAAACCGCUGGGCGUGGUGGCUCACGCCUAUAAUCCCAGCACUUUGGGAGGCCAAGGUGGGUGGAUCACAAAGUCAAGAGAUCGAGACCAUCCUGGUCAACAAGGUGAAAUCCCGUCUCUACUAAAAAUACAAAAAUUAGCUGGGCAUGGUGGUGCGCACCUGUAGUCCCAGCUACUCAGGAGGCUGAGGCAGGAGAAUUGCUUGAACCCAGGAGGCGGAGGUUGAGGUGAGCCGAGAUCGUGCCAUUGCACUCCAGUCUGGGUAACAACAGCGAAACUCUGUCUCAAAAAAAAAAAAAUUAUGAGAAACAAUCUACUUCAUUUUAGUGUAGCUGUUACAUCAAAAUUUGACAAUAUAAUAGAAGAAAGAAAACAUAAGCAGUCCUUUGUAAACACGAACAAUAAAUAAUUGUCUUACAUCAGCUUUAAAGUUCUUAAACAAAACCCAAUUAGUCAAACAAGCAGCAAGCAAACAUUUGUGUGCAAGUUAAAUUUAUUGCGAAGAUGCAAGAAUGAUUUAGAGAUAGAAGCUUCAUUGAUAAUUUAUCACAGUAGGUUCAAGGAGAAAAAGUACAUUAGCGUUAUAAUAGGUCCUGAAAAAGCAUUGAAAACAACAAUAAAAACUCUAUUAAGUGAAUGUUUCUAUAAUAUGAGAAAGAAUACAGAUACUAAACAGCCAAUGUCAUAUUUCAUUCUAAAACAUGAGAAUUCAGGAACAAGAGGAGAAUGGCC